rnacentral:tRNA from 1 species
GCCUGGCUGGCUCAGUUGGAGGAGUCUGCAACUCUUGAUCUCAGGGUUAUGGGUUUGAAUCCCAUGUUGGGUG